rnacentral:rRNA from 1 species
UACGGGGGGAGCAAGCGUUGUUCGGAUUUACUGGGCGUAAAGGGCGCGUAGGCGGCACCGCAAGUCGACUGUGAAAUCUCCGGGCUUAACCCGGAAAGGUCAGCCGAUACUGCGGGGCUAGAGUGCAGAAGGGGCAACUGGAAUUCCCGGUGUAGCGGUGAAAUGCGUAGAUAUCGAGAGGAACACCUGCGGCGAAGGCGGGUUGCUGGGCUGACACUGACGCUGAUGCGCGAAAGCUAGGGGAGCGAACGGG